GGUCAUUUGUAGUUCAGUGGUUAAAACAUUGGAUUACCAAGCAGAAGGUUGUGAAUUCAAAUCCCAUCACCG